AUGGAGGGAUUCAGAUCACGGUUGUCAUUACUGAUGGAGGGAUUCAGAUCACUGUUGUCAUUACUGAUGGAGUGCUUUCUCUUCUCUCCUCUUCUGUUCCUUUCUUGUCUUCACCUCUCUGUUGCUUAUUCUCUCUUAUAUUUUACUCUGGGUGGACUUCCAUCCCCCCUCUCUCUCUUUCCAUCCCCCUGUCUCUCUUUCCAUCCCCCCUGUCUCUCUUUCCAUCCCCCCUGUCUCUCUUUCCAUCCCCCCUGUCUCUCUUUCCAUCCCCCCCUCUCUCUUUCCAUCCCCCUGUCUCUCUUUCCAUCCCCCCUCUCUCUUUCCAUCCCCCCUCUCUCUUUCCAUCCCCCCCUCUCUCUUUCCAUCCCCCCUCUCUCUUUCCAUCCCCCUCUCUCUCUUUCCAUCCCCCUCUCUCUCUUUCCAUCCCCCCUCUCUCUCUUUCCAUCCCCCCUCUCUCUCUUUCCAUCCCCCCUCUCUCUCUUUCCAUCCCCCCCUCUCUCUCUUUCCAUCCCCCCCUCUCUUUCCAUCCCCCCCUCUCUCUUUCCAUCCCCCCUCUCUCUCUCUUUCCAUCCCCCCUCUCUCUCUCUUUCCAUCCCCCCCUCUCUCUUUCUAUCCCCUCUCUCUCUUUCCAUCCCCCCCUCUCUCUCUUUCCAUCCCCCCCUCUCUCUCUUUCUAUACCCCCCUCUCUCUCUUUCUAUACCCCCUCUCUCUCUCUUUCUAUACCCCCCUCUCUCUCUCUUCUAUACCCCCCUCUCUCUCUCUUUCUAUACCCCCCUCUCUCUCUCUUUCUAUACCCCCCUCUCUCUCUCUUUCUAUACCCCCCUCUCUCUCUCUUUCUAUACCCCCCUCUCUCUCUCUUUCUAUACCCCCUCUCUCUCUCUUUCUAUACCCCCCUCUCUCUCUCUUUCUAAACCCCCCUCUCUCUCUCUUUCUAUACCCCCCUCUCUCUCUCUUUCUAUACCCCCCCUCUCUCUCUCUUUCUAUCCCCCCUCUCUCUUUCCAUCCCCCCCUGUCUCUCUCUACCCCCCUCUCUCCUCCUCUCCAGGUCUCCUGUCUAAGUCUGACUCCGGCCAGGAUUCAUCUCCCUCCUCCACCCCCCACACCCGAGGUUUCUCCUCCCCUUCGCCGGGCCCUCAGACUCGGUGUCUCCCCGUAUCCCAGGGGCCCCCCACCCUCCCCCUCGCCCCUCCCCCCUCAGACCCAGCCCCCUCGCGUUCCCCCCACCCCUCCCUCCCACGCCCCCCAGCUGGGACCACCCUUCCCCAUCAGCCCUCUGGAUGUCCUGGCCCAGGGCCUCACCUCCGUACCCCACCACCCCCCAGCCCACCCAGGCCUUCACCCUGCUGCCCCACCCAUCCCCCAGAGCAUCGCACCCCCAGCUAA
rnacentral:lncRNA from 1 species